CCAAUAGCGUAUAUUAAAGUUGUUGCAGUUAAAAAGCUCGUAGUUGAAUUUCGGGAUUCUACCGUUGGUCGGGCUAUCCAGUCUGUACUAGCGUGUAGAAUUUCUACCUUCUGGGGAACCAUCAUGUUAUUAAUUUAGCGUGGUGGGAAACCAGGACCUUUACCUUGAAAAAAUUAGAGUGUUCAAAGCAGGCAUAUGUCUGAAUACAUUAGCAUGGAAUAAUAAAAUAGGACGGUGGUCCUGUUUUGUUGGUUUCUGAAUCACCGUAAUGAUUAAUAGGGAUAGUUGGGGGCAUUAGUAUUCAAUUGUCAGAGGUGAAAUUCUUGGAUUUAUUGAAGACUAACUUCUGCGAAAGCAUUUGCCAAGGAUGUUUUCAUUAAUCAAGAACGAAAGUUAGGGGAUCGAAGACGAUCAGAUACCGUCGUAGUCUUAACCAUAAACUAUGCCGACUAGGGAUCGGACGAUGUUAAAUAUAAUUGACUCGUUCGGCGCCUUACG
rnacentral:rRNA from 1 species